ensembl:lncRNA
GCACGGUUAUCUAGGUAAAAAUGUAUAUAAGCUGUGUUUAGUAGUGAAUAAACGCCAUUUGCCUCACUUACUCCUGGGGUCUGGGUGAGCAUCUGGCCCCGACCUGGUAAAGGGUCGGUUUCGCCCAGCAGUAAGCCCUACAUGUGGACAGAGGACGAACACCGGAUGAGCGAACGGAGACUACAUGCAACAAGUGGUGACCCCGACGUGAUCUGUCUGCUGAGGGUGGCUGCCCGGCGUGCCCGUGACGCGGAGAAGAGCCUGUGAGGUGGCGGCAGGUCGCAUACGUAACAAUGGACCAAGUCAUUAAGACCGAAGCCAACUCCAGAACAACUGAGGGACAGACGAUGGGAUCAAGAACCACUCGUCAAGAGGAGCACUACACCUGCAACGCUGACACUUCCGAUGUUGCUGAUAUUUAUGGUGUCCAUGGCGAUUACAGAGUGUCACAAACAACUACAAUGGACACAAGAACAUAUGCAGAAAAUUAAAGAAGAGCGUGAUCCCUUUGGAAGCUGGCUGGACGGACUGUUUGGGGGAACGGGUUCAUGGUUAAAGCAAUUGCUUAAAGCUCUCGCAGUAGGAUUUGCAAUCUUUGUGUGUAUUCUAAUCUGUCUUCCAUGCCUUGUAGGAUGCUUGCCUUCAACGAAUGAUGGACAAGACUUUUGACUAUCACAUUGAGUAUCAUAGAUUGCGUGAAAAAUUAUAGAGGGGUUUAGGUUGUUGCGUUCGUGCUGUAACGGGGCAAGGCUUGGCCGAGCACGGAAAAGAAUUCCCUGUUGCUCUGAUGAUUGCUUAAGAACUGUAGUAGAAAAUAGUAGGAAUAGUGUGCUGAAAUAUAUUUAGGAUUAGGCGUUUUGCGCUGCUUCGCGAUGUACGGGUUAGGUGUGUGUGUAAGUAGUAUUUAGCUUAGGGAGGGGGAGAUGUUGUAGUAGGCGUCUUGCGGGGGCACGGGAUGUACGGGACAGGCCUCUCCCUAAACAUAGAGAGAUAGUGCUAUCGUGCUGACCUUGUUGCAGAGAAAACAGGAGAAGAAGAAGGAUGAUAAAAGAAUGUGGAAACGGCCAAAUAAGGCACAAUGUUAUCUGGUGUGAACUAAUCAGAGUGGGACAUGACAGCACGGUUAUCUAGGUAAAAAUGUAUAUAAGCUGUGUUUAGUAGUGAAUAAACGCCAUUUGCCUCACUUACUCCUGGGGUCUGGGUGAGCAUCUGGCCCCGACCUGGUAAAGGGUCGGUUUCGCCCAGCAGUAAGCCCUACAUGUGGACAGAGGACGAACACCGGAUGAGCGAACGGAGACUACAUGCAACAGAUCCCUUCCAACCCAAACCAUUCUGUGAUUCCGAGAUUCUGAGAAGCAAGUGAAUAGCUGUUCAACUUCUGCAGCCAGCAUUAUUUAGAGGAGCCACUUUGUUGCGUUCUUCAUUUUUCAGACUGAAAUACUCUGAUUAACAAAAAUUAGUUCAGGUUGCUUUUUUUUUUAAUUCAAAGUACUCUUCUCACUCCUCUUUAAAUAUAUCAGCUAUACAAACAAAUCCAGCUUCUCUUCCUGAUAUAUUUAAGUACCUGUCUUUCUCACACUCAGCAAACAAAACAGGAUAGAAAAUAUGUUUGCCUCUCACAAAGACAGCAAAGCAAGUAAAACAAGAAAUUCACAGUAUAUCAAUUAUGAUCAAACCUUUGUGGUUUGUUGUUGUUGUUGUUUGUAGAAAACAAUCAAGGGAAAAAUUCUACUAGUAUAGACAGUUAUAUCACCUUGACAAAUUAUCUCUCUAAUGAACAACUUUGGCUAUACAUUCUUACAUUAUUUUAAUCAUCCAAAAAAAGCAUAAAUUUGUGUUACUUUAAUCAUGGAAAAAUAGGUAAGAACCCCCUAUUAGUUCUACAUUAUAAAAUAUGAAAGCUACAGAUCUUUUCUUUUUUUUAUGCAUUGCAAAUUGUCUUGUCAGAAGAACAUGAAGAUCAAAUGGCUUUGGCAAGUGAUUAAAAUCCAAGUAGAAGCGGUGAUCAUCUAAAAUGUUAUCUGUUGUUCGUAGGUGGUAAUGCUAUUUAUACACAGUGAAAUAAGGAAAGACCAAGAAAUGACAGUGAAAACCAUGUUAUAGAAGUUGGUGGGGAGAGAAAAAGGGAAAAACAGAACAACUUGGUAGUCUUUGAACAUUGAUGUUCUUCAAUCAGCUGCUAGCAUCAAAUAUCUGUCAUUGGAAAUUUAUUAGCAACUAUUUUAAUAAAUUCUGCAAAUCCUGGAUACUUUCCACUGUGCAUUUCUGAUAACUUACAG